GACGAACGCUGGCGGCGUGCCUAAUACAUGCAAGUAGAACGCUGAAGAGAGGAGCUUGCUCUUCUUGGAUGAGUUGCGAACGGGUGAGUAACGCGUAGGUAACCUGCCUGGUAGCGGGGGAUAACUAUUGGAAACGAUAGCUAAUACCGCAUAAAAUUGAUUAUUGCAUGAUAAUUAAUUGAAAGAUGCAAUUGCAUCACUACCAGAUGGACCUGCGUUGUAUUAGCUAGUUGGUGAGGUAACAGCUCACCAAGGCGACGAUACAUAGCCGACCUGAGAGGGUGAUCGGCCACACUGGGACUGAGACACGGCCCAGACUCCUACGGGAGGCAGCAGUAGGGAAUCUUCGGCAAUGGGGGGAACCCUGACCGAGCAACGCCGCGUGAGUGAAGAAGGUUUUCGGAUCGUAAAGCUCUGUUGUAAGAGAAGAACGGGUGUGAGAGUGGAAAGUUCACACUGUGACGGUAUCUUACCAGAAAGGGACGGCUAACUACGUGCCAGCAGCCGCGGUAAUACGUAGGUCCCGAGCGUUGUCCGGAUUUAUUGGGCGUAAAGCGAGCGCAGGCGGUUAGAUAAGUCUGAAGUUAAAGGCUGUGGCUUAACCAUAGUAUGCUUUGGAAACUGUUUAACUUGAGUGCAGAAGGGGAGAGUGGAAUUCCAUGUGUAGCGGUGAAAUGCGUAGAUAUAUGGAGGAACACCGGUGGCGAAAGCGGCUCUCUGGUCUGUAACUGACGCUGAGGCUCGAAAGCGUGGGGAGCAAACAGGAUUAGAUACCCUGGUAGUCCACGCCGUAAACGAUGAGUGCUAGGUGUUAGGCCCUUUCCGGGGCUUAGUGCCGCAGCUAACGCAUUAAGCACUCCGCCUGGGGAGUACGACCGCAAGGUUGAAACUCAAAGGAAUUGACGGGGGCCCGCACAAGCGGUGGAGCAUGUGGUUUAAUCCGAAGCAACGCGAAGAACCUUACCAGGUCUUGACAUCCCUCUGACCGCUCUAGAGGUAGAGUUUUCCUUCGGGACAGAGGUGACAGGUGGUGCAUGGUUGUCGUCAGCUCGUGUCGUGAGAUGUUGGGUUAAGUCCCGCAACGAGCGCAACCCCUAUUGUUAGUUGCCAUCAUUCAGUUGGGCACUCUAGCGAGACUGCCGGUAAUAAACCGGAGGAAGGUGGGGAUGACGUCAAAUCAUCGUGCCCCUUAUGACCUGGGCUACACACGUGCUACAAUGGCUGGUACAACGAGUCGCAGGCCGGUGACGGCAAGCUAAUCUCUGAAAGCCAGUCUCAGUUCGGAUUGUAGGCUGCAACUCGCCUACAUGAAGUCGGAAUCGCUAGUAAUCGCGGAUCAGCACGCCGCGGUGAAUACGUUCCCGGGCCU
rnacentral:rRNA from 1 species